AUACUUACCUGGCAGGGGCAAUUCCAUGAUCACGAAGAUGGUUUCCCUAGGAUGAGGUUCGCCCAUUGCACUCCGGGCGUGCUGACCCCUGCGAUUUCUCCAAAUGUUGGAAACUCGUAAAACUGCGUAAUUUAUGGUAGUGGGGGACUGCAUGUGCGCUAUCCCCUG